rnacentral:rRNA from 1 species
CCCUUAGAUGUUCUGGGCUGCACGCGCGCUACACUGAAGCUAUCAACACGUUUUCCCUCCCUGAGAAGGGCGGGUAACCUUUUGAAUCAGCUUCGUGGUAGGGAUCGGGGCUUGCAAUUGUUCCCCGUGAACCAGGAAUUCCUAGUAGACGCGAGUCAUAAGCUCGCAUCGAUUAAGUCCCUGCCCUUUGUACACACCGCCCGUCGCUACUACCGAUUGAACGUUUUAGUGAGGCAUUUGGACCGACGCAUCUCAGUUUAACCGCUGGUUUGUGUUGGAAAGACUUCCAAACUUGAGCGUUUUGAGGAAGUAAAAGUCGUAACA